CAUUUUAGGGUUCAAUCUUCACAUUGACACCUAAUCCUAUUUUCUAGCCAAUCACUUCUUGACACAUAUAUAUUUGGCAAAUCACUAAUAUAUAUUUCCUUUUCUCAUACUUUCUUUAUUUCUCAAAUUUCUUUCUCUCUCUUCUCUCUUUUCUCCCUACGAUCUCUCUCUAUUUUCUCACCAUCUUCAUGAACAUCAUGAAGAACAACAAGAACACCACCACCCAUCCCCAGAUUCCGGCGAGCCAUCGCCGGCCACCGUCGCCGCCGGAGCUUCUUUCAUGUGUAAAAGAAGAUGAGUUCAACAUCAAAGACUUUAACCUUUGAGGAUCUGGCUAAACACAAUCACAAGAAAGAUUGAUGGAUCAUAGUCAACAACAAGUUUUGCAUGUAUGAAAUGUAUGAAAUUCUCCUAGAUUCAAGUUUUUGGGUGUUGGAAAAACUAAGUUCUUGCAUGUAGGAAAUUCUCAAUAGAUUCAAGCUUUUGGGUGUUGGAAAAACUAAGGUAAGAGAAACCAACCUCCUCUUUUUAUUCUUUCUCUUUUAUACCAAACCCUAAGAACCUAGAAGAUGGACAAAAGAGAUUUUAUAAGUUAAAAUGGACAAUAUAUGUUUAGGUUGCAAGUUCAUGUAAAAGAAGAAAUAUUUAUGUGAAAUUUGUGUAGACAUACAUGUGGUAAAUUUAGUAUAACUCUCUGAAUAUAUGUCAUAUGCUAAAUAUUUUAAAUCCACUACAAAGAAGACAAAAUUUCCUACAAUUUAGUCACCGGAAAUGUUAAAUUCCCAUAAGUAUAGUAGGAGAAAAGCUACCUACAAGUUUGAGUAUAGUUUCAGUCCUGUUUCUGUACCAAUACCCAAUCUUUUGUUAAACUGGACCAAUUGGAUGGUUAAACCUCAAAACAAAAAUUAUAUUUGUAAUCUUGACAUCCUAAGCUUUCAACCGAGUGGUCGUUUACUCAAAACGGAUAUGGUUUGGUAUUUUAAUUAAGUUGCGAAAGUUAAGGUGUUGUUGCUAUGUUUGUGCAGAAAAAUCUGUUUCUGUACCAAUACCCAAUCUUUUGUUAAACUGGACCAAUUGGAUGGUUAACACUUAAAACAAAAAUUAUAUCUGUAAUCUUGACAUCCUAAUCUUUCCAACGAGUGGUCGUUUACUCAAAACGGAUAUCGUUUGGUAUUUUAAUUAAACUGCGAAAGUUAAGGUGUUGUUGCUAUGUUUGUGCAGAAAAUUCUCAAUAGAUUCAAGCUUUUGGGUGUUGGAAAAACUAAGCUAAGAGAAACCAACCUUCUCUUUUUAUUCUUUCUCUUUUAUACCAAACCAUAAGAACCUAGAAGAUGGACAAAAGAGAUUUUAUAAGUUAAAAUGGACAAUAUAUGUUUAGGUUGCAAGUUCAUGUAAAAGAAGAAAUAUUUAUGUGAAAUUUGUGUAGACAUACAUGUGGUAAAUUUAGUAUAACUCUCUGAAUAUAUGUCAUAUGCUAAAUAUUUUUAAUCCACUACAAAGAAGACAAAAUUUCCUACAAUUUAGUCACCGGAAAUGUUAAAUUCCCAUAAGUAUAGUAGGAGAAAAGCUACCUACAAGUUUGAGUAUAGUUUCAGUCCUGUUUCUGUACCAAUACCCAAUCUUUUGUUAAACUGGACCAAUUGGAUGGUUAAACCUCAAAACAAAAAUUAUAUUUGUAAUCUUGACAUCCUAAGCUUUCAACCGAGUGGUCGUUUACUCAAAACGGAUAUGGUUUGGUAUUUUAAUUAAGUUGCGAAAGUUAAGGUGUUGUUGCUAUGUUUGUGCAGAAAAAUCUGUUUCUGUACCAAUACCCAAUCUUUUGUUAAACUGUACCAAUUGGAUGGUUAACACUUAAAACAAAAAUUAUAUCUGUAAUUUUGACAUCCUAAUCUUUCCAACGAGUGGUCGUUUACUCAAAACGGAUAUCGUUUGGUAUUUUAAUUAAACUGCGAAAGUUAAGGUGUUGUUGCUAUGUUUGUGCAUAAAAACUGAUUUUAAAAGAAUAAUCUUGAUUCCUUUUGUCAAAAGUGUUUUCAAUUAUAUGAAAUGUUUUAAUUUACUUUGAUAUUUUCACUUAGCUUCAUUGUGUUGAUUCCAAUUUUUUGUUUACUUUCUUAAAUGGCAAGAUGAAAUAAUUUGUUUAUAAUCAUAUAUAUAUAUUAACCCAAUCAAUGUACCAAUCAUAUUUUCAUUUGUAUGUUUUACUAAUGAAUUUUGAAAUAAUGAAUAUGAAGUGAACCAAACACUAGCUACUUUAGGCUUCUUUGGAGUUGAGAGCUGCAAAUAAUGUGAGCAAGUUUACAUGUUCUCAAUAUCUCAUCUUGAUAUCCUUCAUUCAAUAAUUAGGUGACUAAUCUACCACAUCUUUCUAACAUCACAUGCAACCUUCAUUUCAUGAUCACAUGAUGCCAUCAUUGCUUCUCUAUCAUUAUUAUAUUUAUUACUAGCUAUUCCUAUCAUGAUUAUCCCUAUUACUAGCUAUCAUAUCAUGAUUAUACCUAUUAUCUCUAUUUCUUGCUUCAUGUGACAUGUGUAAAGAAAUGAAGAGACAAGUGGCAUCAUGCAUGUAUGUCAAUGAAUAAGUGUCUUCAUAGAUGAAUUCAUCAACCCUAUGUAAACCAACUCCUCCUAAAACUACAUUCACACACUAACUUUACCAUCAUUGUAACUUAUGAUUAAUAAAUUAUAUUAUACAUUUUCUUUUAAGUAAUUAGCUAUUUUUUUUAUGUAGCAUUUUUUAAUUUGAAUUUAUGUUUAACAAUUUAUACUAAAUUUUUUUCACUAUGUUCAUUCCCUAAAAUUUGUAGACAACAUGUUGUCUUUUGUUCCUUUACUUUCUCAGCUUUCAUAUGUUAGAUGUUUAUGUGUCAUUCACAUGAUGCAAUGAUUUCAUUGUUAUAAAUUCUAUUGGCAUGACUUCUUUAUCAAUUCUAUAUUGAUUGCAUGUAUUCUUGGAACUUGCUAUCAUGUCCUUCACAAAAUUCUUAUCAUGCAAUCAUUCCUCCUACCUAUACCUAUAUUUUGAAUAGUACUCUAAUGUCCCAAAUAGCACUCAUUUGUCCCAAAUUACAAAUAGUAACCUUCUUUCAAAUAGUAACAUAUAGUACUUAGUAACCUAUAUAUUCUCAAAUAAUAACCUUCUUCCUAUAUAUUAAAGGUUUUUUUUUUCCUGAAUCUAAAUUCCCUAAUCAUUUCAUUUUUUGGUUUUAAAUCUAACAAUUCAUGUGUCCAUAAUAAGUACCUUGAUAGUAAUCAUAUGAUGCAUUUUACAAAGGUAAACUCUAAUUUGGAUUUGUUAAUAAUGCUAAGUUGUAUCACUAUAUCUAAAUCAUCAUGAUUAUCCAUUUUCUUUGUUAUAAAGGUUAUCAAAGCUUAUAUGCUAAGGAUUUCGAACAACUUCAACUGUACCAUAGUCUUUUGGAUCAUCACAAUUUGAUUGAAUUGGCCAUUUAAAGGAGAAAAAUGGAGCAUGCUUGGUGUGAAUAUAAUUGGGUGGUGGUGCAUAUCAAUCCAAUAUAACAUGUCAUAUUAGUUUUUUCAGCUUUGUAUAAUACAUAGUGAUAACACCCAACACUUGAAAUAAUGAGCAAAAUUAUAAAUCUUAAUAUAAGGUUUAUAAUAUUGGAAAAAUUGUCAACUACAUUGAUAUUUGUCCAUUAUAUGGUGGUUCACUUUUA